rnacentral:rRNA from 1 species
UACGUAGGGGGCAAGCGUUGUCCGGAUUCAUUGGGCGUAAAGAGCUCGUAGGCGGCUUGGCAAGUCGGGUGUGAAAACUCCAGGCUCAACCUGGAGACGCCACCCGAUACUGCCAUGGCUAGAGUCCGGUAGGGGACCACGGAAUUCCCGGUGUAGCGGUGAAAUGUGUAGAGAUCGGGAGGAACACCGGUGGCGAAGGCGGUCUUCUGGACGGUGACUGACGCUGAGGCGCGAAAGCGUGGGGAGCAAACGGG